AUUGAACGCUGGCGGCAUGCCUUACACAUGCAAGUCGAACGGUAGAGGGGGCAACCCCUUGAGAGUGGCGAACGGGUGAGUAAUGCAUCGGAACGUGCCCAGUCGUGGGGGAUAGCCCGGGGAAACCCGGAUUAAUACCGCAUACGACCUGAGGGUGAAAGCGGGGGACCGAAAGGCCUCGCGCGAUUGGAGCGGCCGAUGUCGGAUUAGGUAGUUGGUGGGGUAAAGGCCUACCAAGCCUGCGAUCCGUAGCUGGUCUGAGAGGACGACCAGCCACACUGGGACUGAGACACGGCCCAGACUCCUACGGGAGGCAGCAGUGGGGAAUUUUGGACAAUGGGCGCAAGCCUGAUCCAGCCAUGCCGCGUGCGGGAAGAAGGCCUUCGGGUUGUAAACCGCUUUUGUCAGGGAAGAAAUCUCUUGGGUUAAUACCCUGGGGGGAUGACGGUACCUGAAGAAUAAGCACCGGCUAACUACGUGCCAGCAGCCGCCGUAA
rnacentral:rRNA from 1 species